rnacentral:rRNA from 1 species
UACGUAGGGGGCAAGCGUUGUCCGGAUUUACUGGGCGUAAAGCGCGUGUAGGCGGGUCUUUAAGUCAGGGGUGAAAUGCCAAGGCUCAACCUUGGAACUGCCUUUGAUACUGGAGACCUUGAGUCCGGGAGAGGUGAGUGGAAUUGCGAGUGUAGAGGUGAAAUUCGUAGAUAUUCGCAAGAACACCAGUGGCGAAGGCGGCUCACUGGCCCGGAACUGACGCUGAGACGCGAAAGCGUGGGGAGCAAACAGG